UAUAUAUAGAUAGAUAGAUAGAUAGAUAGAUAGAUAGAUAAAUAUAUAUAGAAACCCAGGCAGGUCUCUGCACUCCCUUCAGGGCAAUCAGGACCGGGUGCUGCAGCAGCGCUUCUCAUACAUCAAAUCCACAGUUGUAAGCAGCCCACACUGGAGUUUAAAAAAAUUUGUUUCUUUAUUUAUCAAAAGAUUAAAACCAUAGUCGCAAGGAUCAACGUUUCGGUCAGGAUCUAAGACUGUUAUCAAGAUCCAGAAUCACAUGUUGUGGUACAAUUUAUAGUCAAAUUUACAUAAUUAAUUGAACACAGGGAAUCAGAAGAUACACACACUGACAAGAAUAAUCAAGAUAUGCAAAUCUGUAUCACAGAGUAUCCAAACUACCUCUUAUCUCUCUGUGUAUCAUUAUCUUAAUAAUAAAGUAUCUGUCUAAUCUGGCAACAUUGCAACAAAGUUAACUUAUAUCAAUAAACACAUCAGAACAGAGAAUAAUGGAUACAUUCAAAAAGUAUUUUAUCUUUGUGUGAGGAAGCAUGUAAGGGACAGUUGUUCAUUAAGCCCAUAUGGUGCCAUUGUAUUAAGUUUAUUGAUCCAAAAACAUUCCCUCUGUAAGAGCAUUUUGGAUCUGUCACCACCCCUUUUAAGGGGAGGUAUAUGAUCAAUGCCAAUGUAUUUAAAAGUGGGUAAAUGAUGCCCCUUUUCUAAGAAAUGUUUCGCCACAGGUUUCAAUGAUUUAUUGUCCCUGAACGCAGUGCUGAUAGCGGAUCUAUGACCAUCCAUUCUGAGACGCAAAGUUUGAUCGGUCUUACCAACAUAAGAGAGACCGCACGGGCAGGUAAUCAGGUAAAUAACAUGUGUUGUGGUGCAGGUGAUAUGUGACCUAAUGGAAAAUCUUUUACCCGUAUGAGGAUGCACAAAACUUUGUCCUGGCGACAUAUAUCGGCAUGAUGUACAACUGGGGCAUCUGUAGCAACCCAUCUUCAGACUUAGGAAACAGAAUGUUGCCCCUGUGCUUUGCAGCCAGCAUGGAGCAUAUGGGACAUGCCUUGAUACAUUACAUCAACAAACAUGAUUCAUCUGCUCUGAUCCUUGACUGUUUCAUCAGGACGCAUCCCUACGUUUCUUCUGCAUCUUGCAAGGACUUUUUUUGUUGAAGCAAUCUUUGCCUUCGGUUCUUUCAUGGGAAAGCAAAGCAGCAGGGAGCAGUCACACAACCAGAAUCUGCCAACAAGUCAGUGGCUGUCAUAUCUACAUACAAUUAGUCCGAGCUCAGAUAUCCAUCCAUAUGUGAUUGAUGCCCUGGUCACAGGAUGUAAGCUUCUGCUGGAGCCUUUCCCAAAAAAGAGAAAUUGCCAUUAUUUGCUCCAAGUGUUUAAUGAAGAAGAUGCUGGGUAUUUAUUUAUACUGGAAGUCUCUGUAUUCACUAAAUAGAUGUGUGUGUGUGGUCUGGCUGAUUAAGUCACGCCUAACCAAAACAAUCUGCACAUGGACCUCGCUUGUGCUACGGAUGCACCCUUUACAAACUGCCAUUAUCAGGCUCAGAAUUCUAUUCUAGCCAUAAGACUUAAGCUCGCCAUACACAGGUCAAUAAAAAAGCUGCUGACCCCGGCCCUCCAUACCAAGUUGAGAGUUUAUUAGCCUGUGUAUGGGUCCUAUCAAUAUCAAUAUUCGCCAGUGUGACGUAAUUUCGUUACUUCGCCAAUUUACUAACGGCCGCUGACGUAAAUUCGCUAGCGAAGUGACCUACUCUAGCGCUACUUCGCACCCUUACGCCAGGCGAAGUUGCGCUAUGGCAAAUGGGACGUAACUACGCUAAUUCACUAACUUGCGCAUUUUACUGAACAUUACCUCUUGCGUUAGACUUGCCUUCGCCACCUGAGACCAGGCAAAGUGCAAUAGAGUAGAUAGCGAUUGCUUCAAAAAAAGUUGAAAUUUUUUCUAAGUCCCAAAAAACGCUGGCGUCUUUUCCUUUUUUAAGGGUGAUAGGCUGAAAAAGAUUGUAAAUUUUUUUGGGGGUACCCUCCUUCCCCCCUACAUUUCCUAACAUAUGGCACCUAAACUAUACAGUGGGCACGUGUAUAGAGCAAAAUGAAGCUUUCUCAGGCUUGUGUAGUGUAAUGUAUUUGCUUUAACUUGGCGCCAUAUGCAAAUUAGGCAUCGCUAGCGUAACUUUGCUUUGCUUGAUGAAUUAAUGCGAGUGCAACUUCGGAUGUUAGUGAAUUAGCGGCCCCCUGGUGAAACUUCAUCUGGCGAAGUGUGGCGAAGCCUGUGCUAGCGCAACUCCACAGGUUAGUGAAUUUGCCCCUAUGUGAAUUGCAUGGCCUGCAACAUGCUGUGGUGCACUUGAUUCCCACCACAACCGUCAAAUCCACCCAAGCAAUUGUGCUGCUCUUUCCUGAGGCUCCUCCAGUGACCAAUCAUUAAUUCCAGACCUGAUAUUGACUCUUCUCUAUCCUCAGUCUGGUUGAUGGCUUCUUCAUUUGUUUAGUAAUUAAAGUCAUGGCCGAGUCCAAGCAAGUGACAUUAAAUGCCUUGAUUACUCGUCCUGGCUUCAUGGUUGUCUGGCUUUAUACAAUUACUGAUAGCUUUAUAUUGUAAAGUAAACCCAUUAGCCGCCGGUUUAUUCACUUCAUUAUUAUUGAGCUGCCUCUGCCUUGUACAUUUAUUAUUGUUUAUUUAUACAACAUCUCUGUGAUAUAAACCAAAUAAACUUUAUUCGUUAUAA